rnacentral:rRNA from 1 species
UAGGGAAUCUUCGGCAAUGGACGGAAGUCUGACCGAGCAACGCCGCGUGAGUGAAGAAGGUUUUCGGAUCGUAAAGCUCUGUUGUAAGAGAAGAACGAGUGUGAGAGUGGAAAGUUCACGCUGUGACGGUAUCUUACCAGAAAGGGACGGCUAACUACGUGCCAGCAGCCGCGGUAAUACGUAGGUCCCGAGCGUUGUCCGGAUUUAUUGGGCGUAAAGCGAGCGCAGGCGGUUAGAUAAGUCUGAAGUUAAAGGCUGUGGCUUAACCAUAGUACGCUUUGGAAACUGUUUAACUUGAGUGCAAGAGGGGAGAGUGGAAUUCCAUGUGUAGCGGUGAAAUGCGUAGAUAUAUGGAGGAACACCGGUGGCGAAAGCGGCUCUCUGGCUUGUAACUGACGCUGAGGCUCGAAAGCGUGGGGAGCAAACAGGAUUAGAUACCCUGGUAGUCCACGCCGUAACGAUGAGUGCUAGGUGUUAGACCCUUUCCGGGGUUUAGUGCCGCAGCUAACGCAUUAAGCACUCCGCCUGGGGAGUACGACCGCAAGGUUG